CCUACGGGCGGCAGCAGUGGGGAAUAUUGCACAAUGGGGGGAACCCUGAUGCAGCGACGCCGCGUGAGUGAAGAAGUAUUUCGGUACGUAAAGCUCUAUCAGCAGGGAAGAAAAUGACGGUACCUGACUAAGAAGCCCCGGCUAACUACGUGCCAGCAGCCGCGGUAAUACGUAGGGGGCAAGCGUUAUCCGGAUUUACUGGGUGUAAAGGGAGCGUAGACGGCACUGCAAGUCCGGAGUGAAAGCCCAGGGCUUAACCAUGGGACUGCUCUGGAAACUGUGGAGCUUGAGUGCGGGAGGGGCAGGCGGAAGUACUAGUGUAGCGGUGAAAUGCGUAGAUAUCAGGAGGAACACCAGUGGCGAAGGCGGCCUGCUGGACUGUAACUGACGUUGAGGCCCGAAAGCGUGGGGAGCAAACAGGAUUAGAUACCCCAGUAGUC
rnacentral:rRNA from 1 species